AUUCAAAAGGAUGGCUCCUUGUCUCCAGUAAUACGAAGUAGUUUCUGAUUUGAGUGAGAAGAUGGAAACUGGGAGGGAAGUUGACAGUGCUCCUGCCAGCUGUUGGAGUGAUGCUGCAACACCCCAGCCAGGACUGACUGCUGGAAGAACAACAGAAAAGUUACCAUGGCACUGAGAGAACACUGAACUGCAUUUUGAAACAGGCUUCCUGGUCCAGCAGUACUGAAUAUAUGCUGAUACCUCAGACAAGGUUCUUCAAGGGUUAAGUCAACAGUGAUUGUCCCUUCCAGGAUGCCUGUAAAGUAUUUGCUGGUGGUGGUUGUAAUCGUUCUGUCCAAACGCACAGCCUGUCAGCUUCCCAUGACCUGCUCGGAGCUAGAGUGUGGAAAUCAGGACACCAGCUGCAUAUUCCUACUGGACCUUGGCUCUUCUUCAGCAAGCAUCACGCAGAGCUGUUAUUUUACCCAGUCAGCUUAUACACAUGUGGAGGAGCUGCUGACUUCGGUCACGGAGCUGUGUGCAGCUUGCAGGCCACCUGGGAUGCUUCUGGGCCAGAUCGGGUGGUGUGACUGGCCACAGGUCCAGGUGGCACAUCCACGGUGAAAAGCUUCAGAGAGAUCCCGGGCGCUGAAACACCAGGAGCACCCAGCCCAGCGCGCAGCUUUCUGCUCUGCGGGCCGAGUCCUCUCCGGCUCCCGAGCGCCUGCUCCCAGGAGAGGGCAGU